AUGAAUAAUCUAAAGGAUGCUAAUACUAAGAUUUUCCCCUCAAAGGCGAGGGGAGGUAAGGAACUGCCAUCCAGUUCUGCUUUAGAUUCACCUUCUGUUAUAAGUAAAAUUGCAACACCACAACAUGCUAUUAAUUCCGAUAUGUCGCAAGUUAUUGAUGAUGCUACUUCUGCUAUGAAUGCCACUCAUGAUGAUGCUAGUACAUUACUUGAUGAUGAUGUGCCACUAGGUGAAUUUCUUGAUGAACAAAAUGCUAGAGUAAGACAACAUAAUAUUGUUGAAUCUGAUGAUGAACUUGAAACUGAAAAUCUUGAAACACCUACUAGAACUAGUCCUCCUAGAUAUGAAUUGCCAAAGGUACCAUAA
rnacentral:rRNA from 1 species